AUUCUAAGGCGCUUGAGAGAACUCGGGAGAAGGAACUCGGCAAAUUGGUACCGUAACUUCGGGAUAAGGUACGCCCUGGUAGCUUGACUGGCCUGCGCCAGAAGGGUGAAGGGGUUGCAAUAAACUGGUGGCUGCGACUGUUUAAUAAAAACACAGCACUCUGCAAACACGAAAGUGGACGUAUAGGGUGUGACGCCUGCCCGGUGCCGGAAGAUUAAAUGAUGGGGUGCAAGCUCUUGAUUGAAGUCCCGGUAAACGGCGGCCGUAACUAUAACGGUCCUAAGGUAGCGAAAUUCCUUGUCGGGUAAGUUCCGACCUGCACGAAUGGCGUAACGAUGGCCACACUGUCUCCUCCCGAGACUCAGCGAAGUUGAAGUGUUUGUGAUGAUGCAAUCUACCCGCGGCUAGACGGAAAGACCCCAUGAACCUUUACUGUAGCUUUGCAUUGGACUUUGAACCGAUCUGUGUAGGAUAGGUGGGAGGCUAUGAAACCGGAACGCUAGUUUCGGUGGAGCCGUCCUUGAAAUACCACCCUGGUUUGUUUGAGGUUCUAACCUUGGCCCGUGAUCCGGGUCGGGGACAGUGCAUGGUAGGCAGUUUGACUGGGGCGGUCUCCUCCCAAAGCGUAACGGAGGAGUACGAAGGUACGCUAGGUACGGUCGGAAAUCGUGCUGAUAGUGCAAUGGCAUAAGCGUGCUUAACUGCGAGACCGACAAGUCGAGCAGGUGCGAAAGCAGGUCAUAGUGAUCCGGUGGUUCUGUAUGGAAGGGCCAUCGCUCAACGGAUAAAAGGUACUCUGGGGAUAACAGGCUGAUACCGCCCAAGAGUUCAUAUCGACGGCGGUGUUUGGCACCUCGAUGUCGGCUCAUCUCAUCCUGGGGCUGUAGCCGGUCCCAAGGGUAUGGCUGUUCGCCAUUUAAAGAGGUACGUGAGCUGGGUUUAAAACGUCGUGAGACAGUUUGGUCCCUAUCUGCCGUGGGCGUUGGAAGUUUGAAGGGGGCUGCUCCUAGUACGAGAGGACCGGAGUGGACGAACCUCUGGUGUACCGGUUGUGACGCCAGUCGCAUCGCCGGGUAGCUAUGUUCGGAAGAGAUAACCGCUGAAAGCAUCUAAGCGGGAAACUCGCCUUAAGAUGAGACUUCCCCGGGGACUUGAUCCCCUUGAAGGGUCGUUCGAGACCAGGACGUUGAUAGGUCGGGUGUGUAAGCGCAGUAAUGCGUUCAGCUAACCGAUACUAAUUGCCCGUACGGCUUGAUCCU
rnacentral:rRNA from 1 species